CCUACGGGAGGCAGCAGUGGGGAAUAUUGGUCAAUGGAGGCAACUCUUACCCAGCAAUGCCGCGUGAAUGAAGAAGGUCUUCGGAUUGUAAAGUUCUUUAAUUGGGGACGAAAAAAAUGACGGUAACCAAGGAAUAAGCCUAGGCUAACUAAGUGCCAGCAGCCGCGGUCAUACGGAGGGGGUAAUAGUAGGUCGGCAUGCCUGGUCGUCAAGUGUGUGUAGGCGGUGUGGGAAGUUAGAAGUGAUAUACCUAGAGCUUAACUCAGGUGCUGCUUCUAACACUGCGAUACUUGAGUGCAGUAGAGGAAAGUGGAAUGCCUGGUGUAGCGGUGGAAUGCGUAGAUAUU
rnacentral:rRNA from 1 species